rnacentral:lncRNA from 1 species
UCAGCUCCCAAGUCAUAAUUUAAAAUUAAACGAACUUCUAAACUUUAGAAGUACCCAAGUACGUUGUUAACAUAAGCAAAUGUCAAGUCAAAUACACAAUCACAAAAUGAUGUUCAUGGGCCAUAACUACUAAUCCGUCUCCGUUGCACGACUUCCACUUUGAUCCGUCUGACUCUGUGCCGUCCUCGGAUCACCAUGAGUAUAGCUAUGGAGCACUGUAAGAAAUUGAAAUUAAGAUAAACAAAAUCAAACAAUGUAACGUAAUAAUAUGUUAAUGUCAAAUAGACUUGAAUAAAAUAUAAUUACCCAUUUCAAACUCCUUCUGUUGCUCUUCUUCUGGAACGCCUUCUUCAUCUUUUUUAUCAAUAUCGGUAGAUCUUAACCAAUCCUCAGCACAAAUCAAGGCCUCAACCAUUUCCGGCGCCAAAGAGCUUCUAUACGGUGAUAGAACACGUCCUCCCAUACUAAAUGCACACUCCGAAGCAACACUAGAUAUGGGGACGGCUAAGAUAUCUCUGGCCAUCUCAGCAAGUACAGGAUAACGUGCAGUAUUGCUCGACCACCACAUCAAAAUAUCAAACUGGUCGACAUCAUUCUUACCCACUUUGUAUUGCUUCUCAGUGAGGUAGAUAGUGAGCUCGUUUGUAUCAAGAUCAUCACAAUCUUGAUCACUCUCUUGCAAAGCCUCAAGGCUCAUUGCACUACGACGCUCUGAUCUCCUUUCUCUGAUUGAUGUCGACGUAGAAGCACUAACUCGUGGUCGAGAUGUGGGCGCCACAUGAUGAGAUACCUUAUAAAACUCAAAUAACUCCUUCAAUGCGCUCGUCACCUCACUCACCAAAACAGCUGCACGUUCCAAACCAUACACUGAUUUGAAGCAUUUCUCCACAAGCUUCAACUUUUGCCUAGGGUCUAACACAGCAGCAAUAUAAAGAAGCCGAUUCAUGUUUGGAUUUGAUUCAACUCCUUCCAACCAAUAUUUUCCAAUCUUCUUCCUCAUGUUUGUAGCCAUCAAAGACACCUCCUGAUCCUCAUUCAGCUCCAACUCAGCAAUAAGAUCAAAUAUGUCACACAUCUCAACAAAGAAGAGGUGUGAAGUGGCAUAUGAAGUCCCAGAUGCAAGAAGAGUGAGGUCAUAGAAUUUUUUGAGGUAUUCUAUGAUCUUCCUGAUGUUCACCCAAUCCACCGCUUCAGGUGCUCCAAUAAUAUGCUGCCCAUUAUCAUAUUUCUUGUUCCUCAAGUCCUCUGUAUAUGAUGAAAACAUACUCCCACACACCUCGAAUACCUGCCAAAUGAAAUGAUCUAAGCAUGUAGAUUCAUCUUAUCAUAUAUUCACAUAUUGCAAACAAAGAAUCUCUAAAAUGCAGUACAAUAUAUUCAGUGAGUCUUUGAAUCCAUGAUUAGAUGUUUCAAAACAACUGAAGCAUUACUGCAAGAAACAUCAGAGGGAGAUACAUAAUAUUAAAACAGGUAAUUACUAAGUGUUGUAAGAAAAAACACAAGCAUAUUUCCAUUUCAGACAAUUUGCAACUUCUGAAAUAAAGGACAAAUAUCACACUAAUUUCCUAAACACCUCGAAUACCUGCUCAUACGGCUCAGCUGACUCCAACAUAAGAUAUGUUGAGUUCCACCGUGUAGGGACAUCCAAACAUAAUUGCUUCUUGGACUCAAUCUUGACUAGCUUUGCAUACUCAUAAAACUUUGAAGCUCUUGCUGGGGAGGCCUUGAUCCACUUCACUGCUUCUCUAACUCUGUGAACCGAGAUACCAAUCUCAAGUAAACCAUCCUUAACCACCAAAUUGAGGAUGUGGGCUGCACAACGCAUAUGGAGGUAGCCUCCAUCGAGAACUGUAGACCGUAUCCCAUCGAGAUAAUGCUUCACAUGUUUCACUGCCCCAUCGUUCGCUGUUGCAUUGUCUAACGUGCAACAAAGCAAUCUCUGCAACCCCCAAUCCUUCAUUGCCGUCACAAUAGCUUCACCAAUAUCAACUCCCUUGUGACUAACAAUCUUGACAAAGGUAAUGAUCCUCUUAUGUAAGAUCCAAUCCUUGUUGAUGAAGUGGGCAGUAACACACAUAAAAUUUGUGUUGUUUACUGAAGUCCAGCUAUCUGUGGUCAAUGAGACCCUACCCAUGCCUUUUUUGGUGAAGAAAGUCUUCAAUCGAUCUUUCCGCUCCAAGAAGAGCUUCACUACAAUCAGCUCUAAUCGUCUGCCUUGAUGGAAUAUGGAACAUUGGGCAAGCAGCAGCAACGAAUUUUUUGAAGCCCUCUUUUUCCACAUGUAUGAAUGGGAGCUCAUCAAGGAUAAUCAUCUCAACGAGAGUGAGACGAACAAACUUUUGGUCGAAUUUCCAAGCUGACAACGCGACUGGUCCCAUCCGUGCCGGCAGAUGUGAAAUGCAAUACAGUUUGACCACCUGUUGCAUUUUUAUGCUUUCUAGAGCAUGAGAUAGUGUGAUUUUUGAGGCCAUUCGUCCCAUUACGGGAAUCGGCGUUAAUUAUAGCUCCACAUGUCUUGCACUUCCCCUUUCGCGUCUUAUCCGGAGGAUCACCUUCUUCAACCCAUAAAAGUGUGAAUCCUUUCCAAUGAUCUGAACGCACACUUCCUCCUUGCCCUUUUCUUUGAUGCUCCACUUUGAGCUCCAGUUUGUAUUGUCUCUUCCCCGUCUUCGCCAAUAGGAAUAUCCUCUAAGCCAUCAUCAUCCAUAUCAUCAUUCAUAUCAAUAUCAUCUUCCUCAACUCUAUUACUAUUGCGAGAAGAUUCCAUGACAAUGUAGCAAACUACAAAACAAAACAACAAGUAUCAAACUAUGAAAUAUGAAGUGCCAAAAUCAGUAAAUCACACUAUACCAUAUAAACUGCCAAAAUCAAACUACCAACAACAAGUAUCAAACUAUACCAUAUAAACUGCCAAAAUCAAACUAUACCAUAUAAACUGCCAACAACAAGUAUCAAACUACCAUAUAAACUGCCAAAAUCAGUAAAUCACACUAUACCCGAGAAGUAUACAUUCUAUACAUUCUAUAAACUACCAUAUAAACUGCAAAAUCAGUUUCCUAAAUCCUAAGUAGUAAGUACUAAAUUUGUGACGUAUACAUUCUAUAAACUACCAUAUAAACUGCCAAAAUCACACUAAAUUUGUGAAGUAUACAUUCUAUACAUUCUAUAAAGUAUAAACUACCAUAUAAUGUAUACAUUCUAUACAUUUGUGAAGUAUACAUUCUAUACAUUUGUGAAGUAUACAUUCUAUACAUUCAAUGACAAAGAAAGCUCACCUGUCGUCGGAGCUCGGAGGCUGCUGCACGGGCGAACGGCUGCUGCACGGGCUGCUGCGGCGGCGAAGGGCUGCUGCCACAGGCGAGGCGAGGGUCGCGAACUGGGGAGGCCGGAGGCGGAACUGCUGCUGCACUGGCGAGGGGCGAGGGGCGACGGCGAGUGGCGGCCGGCCGGGGCUGGACGUGAGAGCCGAGAGUUCACAGUUCUAGGGCUUGGAAUUGCCGAUUGCGGGAGGGAAGGGAUGAAUUGAAAAACAGGGGGGGGGGGGGGGCGCGGGAGGAGGUAAGUCUAGGGCUGGGGUUCACAGUUUUUAGUUUUAGAUUAAUUAAAUAAUUUAAAUAGAAUUAAAAAAAUCGGGUAUUUUCGGGUAUACCCGAUACCCGAUCGGGUAUACCCGAUACCCGUUUUUUUGAACCCCUAACUACCCGAACCCGUACCCGAUCCCGAAAAAAUCGGGUAUCG